UGUUAUCUCAUUGUUUAGACAUUUUCUGUGGUUUUAAUUAAAAUUUUAUGAAAUAAAUUUUGCUGCAAUUGAAAUUCAAUUAAUUGCUUUUUAAAAAUACCUUUAAUAAAGCAAUAACAGGUGUGAUUGCUGUUUUGCCAUCUCUUCCCUGGAGAGAGGGGCAGCAUCUUCAGCAUUUUUAUCCACACUGUCAAAUUUACCACCAGGAAAACUUAUUUCACCACCAUGGGAUCUUAAAUUAGAUGACCUAGCUGUAUAGAGGAAGCUGUAGAGUUAAA